UUCUGGUCACUUUGAACCUGCUGCCCGAAGGGAAGAGAGGGGAUGAAGAAAAAAAAAAACCUACCUCAUUGUUUGAUACUUCUUGUGAGGAUUGACGAAGCCCUAGAGGGUGAGGGGAGGUGAGGCCAGGGUUGAGCUUCAAAUCCCUGACUUCCCUAUCCUGCCUCUGAACAGGCUCCAGUGGGGGCCAUGAAGUAUAUUUCUGAUGCUGUAUAUUGCACAUGAUUGAGGGAACUUGACAUAUUAAUUCUGUGCUUCUCCCUGGGUCUGAAAUAGCACUGCCUGGAGUCCAGUCCUGCAUCUGCCUCUGCUAGGCUUUACAGAGGAGCAAAAGGCAGAGAGGAGAUUCCCCAUAGUCGGAGAAAACUGGACUAAAGAAGAAUCACUCUACGUAAGCGAAUCUGUGGUCUUCUCUCUCACUCAGAGACCUCAGGGGAGCAUGAGAAAUGAGUCAGUCUCUCUGAGGACCCACCAAGCUGCCAGAGCUAAACAAGAGUCUUGUUUGAACUCUGAAGGGGAGAAGGGACAGAAGGCAUGGAUGAGAACACAGCUGCAGUUGACUUCCGUGAAACCAUCUGGAGAGCAUGGCCCAAGAAAGAGAAAAGGGCACGGGGACCAAAUUAAGAAUGUUCUUAGUUAAUUUUCUAAAGAAUGAGUCCACUGAAAAACCACCCACUCCUGGGUUCCUGAUAAUGCAAACUUCAUUCAUUUGUUUAUUCAUUCAACAAAUGGAGUAGCUCCGACCAAUAUUAUGGAUUGGCUUGGAAAAUACCUCUGGCUUCUUGGCAGAGAAUCAAGCAAGAAACUUACAUGUGAUUUUGGUCUAUUCUAAAUAACUUCUCUAGGUUACAUACUUACACGCUGAUGGUUCACACAUAAGGAGGACAAAAGGAAUGCUACCAAAACAAAAAUCACCCCUCAAAAUUAUUUAAAAGG
rnacentral:lncRNA from 10 species